UACAUUAGUGCUUGCGCACACAAUAAAUUUCAUUACAUUCGAGUUUGUGUAAAAUCCUCUGCCGGCCGAAGCUAGCAAGAGGCCAAAGGUGCACAGGGUAUUGGAUGAAAGUCACCAACGUGCACUUGCCAAAGCCGAAGCCGGCCAGCACUGAAGGCAACGAUUCGCAAUCAUUAAUGAUCCUUCCGCAGGUUCACCUACGGAAA
rnacentral:misc_RNA from 1 species